rnacentral:rRNA from 1 species
CUCCUGAAUGUCAAAACGACUCUCGGCAACGGAUAUCUCGGCUCUCGCAUCGAUGAAGAACGUAGCGAAAUGCGAUACUUGGUGUGAAUUGCAGAAUCCCGUGAACCAUCGAGUCUUUGAACGCAAGUUGCGCCCGAAGCCUUCGGGCCGAGGGCACGCCUGCCUGGGCGUCACGCAUC